GGGGGGGCAACCUCGUGAGUAAAGUGGCGUACGGGUGAGUAACACGUGGGUAAUCUACCUCUUAGUGGGGAAUAACCCUGGGAAACCGGGGGUAAUACCGCAUAAUCCCGAGAGGGGAAAGCAGCAAUGCGCUGGGAGAGGAGCCCGCGGCCGAUUAGCUAGUUGGUGAGGUAACGGCCCACCAAGGCAAAGAUCGGUAGCCGGCCUGAGAGGGCACACGGCCACACUGGCACUGAAACACGGGCCAGACUCCUACGGGAGGCAGCAGUGGGGAAUCUUGCACAAUGGGGGAAACCCUGAUGCAGCGACGCCGCGUGAGCGAUGAAGCCCUUCGGGGUGUAAAGCUCUUUCGGCAGGGAAGAAACAUGACGGUACCUGCAGAAGCAGCUGCGGCUAACUACGUGCCAGCAGCCGCGGUAAUACGUAGGCAGCGAGCGUUGUUCGGAGUUACUGGGCGUAAAGGGUGCGUAGGCGGUCCUUUAAGUUUGGUGUGAAAUCUCCCGGCUCAACUGGGAGGGUGCGCCGGAUGCUGAGGGACUAGAGUGUGGGAGAGGAAAGUGGAAUUCCUGGUGUAGCGGUGAAAUGCGUAGAUAUCAGGAGGAACACCGGCGGUGUAAACGGCUUUCUGGACCAUAACUGACGCUGAGGCACGAAAGCGUGGGGAGCAAACAGGAUUAGAUACCCUGGUAGUCCACGCCCUAAACGAUGCACGUUUGGUGUGGGUGAUUCAGUUCAUCCGUGCCGGAGCUAACGCGUUAAACGUGCCGCCUGGGGAGUACAGUCGCAAGGCUGAAACUCAAAGGAAUUGACGGGGGCCCGCACAAGCGGUGGAGCAUGUGGUUCAAUUCGACACUACGCGAAGAACCUUACCUGGGCUCGAACGGCCGGUCAACGUGGGUGGAAACACUUAUACCCCGCAAGGGGGUCCGGUCGAGGUGCUGCAUGGCUGUCGUCAGCUCGUGUCGUGAGAUGUUGGGUUAAGUCCCGCAACGAGCGCAACCCUUGUCCUGUGUUGCCAUCCCGAAAGGGGGCACUCGCAGGAGACCGCCAGCGAUAAGUUGGAGGAAGGUGGGGAUGACGUCAAGUCCUCAUGGCCUUUAUGUCCAGGGCUACACACGUGCUACAAUGGCCGGUACAAAGGGCAGCUAACCCGCGAGGGGGAGCCAAUCCCAAAAAAACCGGUCUCAGUUCGGAUUGCAGGCUGCAACCCGCCUGCAUGAAGCUGGAAUCGCUAGUAAUGGCAGAUCAGCACGCUGCCGUGAAUACGUUCCCGGGCCUUGUACACACCGCCCGUCACAUCACGAAAGUGGGUUGUACUAGAAGCCUGCAGGCCGACCCGCAAGGGGGGCAGCGGUCCAAGGUAUGACUCAUGAUUGGGGUGAAGUCGUAACAAGGUA
rnacentral:rRNA from 1 species